rnacentral:rRNA from 1 species
UACGGAGGGUGCGAGCGUUGUCCGGAAUCAUUGGGCGUAAAGGGCGCGUAGGUGGCCCGGUCAGUUCGUGGUGAAAGCGCGGGGCUCAACUCCGGAUCUGCGGUGGGUACGGGCAGACUAGAGUGAUGUAGGGGAGACUGGAAUUCCUGGUGUAGCGGUGAAAUGCGCAGAUAUCAGGAGGAACACCGAUGGCGAAGGCAGGUCUCUGGGCAUUAACUGACGCUGAGGAGCGAAAGCAUGGGGAGCGAACAGG